rfam:Dipodomys ordii contig_30600, whole genome shotgun sequence.
GGGAAGGUGGCUCAGUGGUAGAGCGCAUGCCUUCCAUGCAUAAGGCCCAAGGUUUGAUUCCUCAGUACCA